rnacentral:lncRNA from 1 species
GUGAACCCAGGAAAGAAGGCAAGAAAGGAUAUACCACCAAUUCAUACUGCAGAGCCAUUUUCAGAGGACUUUGGAUAUUUUAAGAAGAACCAUUGAAGAUUAGGGACCUCCUGGGAAACCUAUUAUUUCCCAGAUGUUCAAGUGUCACACUGUGUCCUGAAGAAAACCUGGUGUCCAUCCACUGGUUCCUUUGCUUUCAACAUACUGCAACAUAUUGUCAUUUAAAUGUACUCAGGUAUACAAAGAACUUGAAGAGAUGGGAGAUGGUCUGAUAAUUAAGAAGACACAUGUCCAGGGGGGAGCCAAGGUGGCGGAACAGCAUGGAAGUUUUUUGUGUGUCUCACAUCCAUGAAAUAUAGCCAGACCAACACUCAACCAUCCUGAACACCUAGAAAACUUCUCUGAGGAUUAACACAACCAUCUGCACAACCUG